rnacentral:rRNA from 1 species
CCUACGGGAGGCAGCAGUGAGGAAUAUUGGUCAAUGGUCGGGAGACUGAACCAGCCAAGCCGCGUGAGGGAGGAAGGUACAGAGUAUCGUAAACCUCUUUUGUCAGGGAACAAAGGCGGGGACGUGUCCCCGGAUGAGUGUACCUGAAGAAAAAGCAUCGGCUAACUCCGUGCCAGCAGCCGCGGUAAUACGGAGGAUGCGAGCGUUAUCGGGAUUUAUUGGGUUUAAAGGGUGCGAAGGCGGUCUGUUAAGUCAGCGGGAAAAGCCCGGGCCUCAACCCCGGCCCGCCGUUGAAACUGGCAGUCUCGAGUUGGAGAGAAGUAUGCGGAAUGCGCGGUGUAGCGGUGAAAUGCAUAGAUAUCGCGCAGAACUCCGAUUGCGAAGGCAGCAUGCCGGCUCCACACUGACGCUGAGGCACGAAAGCGUGGGUAUCGAACAGGAUUAGAUACCCCUGUAGUC